rnacentral:rRNA from 1 species
AGCCAGCAGCCGCGGUAAUACGUAGGUGGCGAGCGUUGUCCGGAAUUAUUGGGCGUAAAGGGCGCGUAGGCGGUCAUUUAAGUCAGGUGUGAAAUACCCCGGCUCAACUGGGGGGAGCCACCUGAUACUGGGUGACUAGAGUGCAGGAGAGGGAAGUGGAAUUCCAUGUGUAGCGGUGAAAUGCGUAGAUAUAUGGAGGAACACCAGUGGCGAAGGCGGCUUCCUGGACUGUAACUGACGCUGAGGCGCGAAAGCUGGGGGAGCGAACGGGAUUAGAUACCCCGGUAGUCCCAGCCGUAAACGAUGGAUGCUAGGUGUAGGAGGUAUCGACCCCUUCUGUGCCGCAGUCAACACAAUAAGCAUCCCGCCUGGGGAGUACGGCCGCAAGGUUGAAACUUAAAGGAAUUGGCGGGGGA